GCACCUCCAAAUCUUGAAAUUUCUUCCUGUUAUCUCCUGUUAUUCCAAACUUAUUGACAUGCCUUUUUAAGCUUUUUGUUCUCCUGUUUCUAGGAAAAGAAUAAUAAACUUUCUUUUUUUGUAAACUACUAACUGCAGGAAAGAAGGUGUUUGGGUGGGCCACCUGCUUUCAGGAUAUUCUUUGCCAAUGGAAGAUCCAAGUCAGUCAAAAGAAAACGGAAAUACUGAUUGUAUUGGUGGGACAUGGAGACAAUCGAUAAAAGUUGCAAUUGAGGCUACAAAAUCAGCUUUCCCUGGUGGGGAUGUUUUGGC
rnacentral:lncRNA from 1 species